GCGACCCACUCUUGGUUUCCA
rnacentral:miRNA from 9 species